rnacentral:lncRNA from 1 species
AAUGCAUUUGGCUUUGGGUCCAUAGGGCCAUACUUGGAUUUGUCCACGUCACCUUUGGAGCCACCACUCUCCACAUGCCAAGAGAAGAAAUAUGCAUGCCAGCAUGUGCCAUGCUCAUGCCAAGUUGUGUCAAGCAUCAAGCACCCACAUGGAAUUUCAUUUCUUCUUUAGAAUUCCUUAAGAGUUCUUGGCUACUUACUUAUUUUGUUGAAGGCUGAUUUCUUUCCUAUGGUAGAUUAUAAUGCUUUAGUUUUUGUGGAGGGUUGAUUUUUUCCUUGUAAAAAUAAGAGAUUCCUAAACAAAUAGGACCCUUAGAGUCCUAUAUAAAUCCUUGUAUCUUUCAUGAAAGAAAACAAUGAAUGAUUUUACAAACUCCACAAAUACUUGUGUCAAUCGCUC